GGAAGACACUCGCACGUGUAAGAGCCAUUCACGUUCACACAUUUAGUGUUUGCGUUACAAUGGUGCCCCUCGGAGCCACCUUGCUGUUUGCAUUCAUCUAUGUCUGUGACGUUAACGGUCGGAACCGACGGAAAUAUCACGAUCGCCAUCUCAGUGGAUUUAAUUGAAUUAAAGGCUAUUAAAUAUCGACGCAAAGAAAAAAGAGAAGAAAAGACAUACACAAAAAGAGAGACAGCAAAGUUAGAGAAGCAUUAGAUACCGUGACAGUUAUGACCGUCCCCCUGGAAACCGAUAUCGCAAUGGCAGGCGUACGUUGUCUGCAGAUUCAGGCAGGACGCAUUAGCAUGACACUUGUGGCCCUUCGCACAGUAGUCCACCCCUGGUUAAAUUGGGUUAGCCAGGAAAAUGCAGAGAUGAUAUUGCUUGGCUGCCAUGCCAUUUAGGAUAUGAAUAUUGAUAGCAGAAAAGAGGAAAUUUCGCCUAGGGAUUUUUUUAAUGUGAGUACCAUAAAAUGGCAUGCAUCGUUCUUUU